AUGCAUUCAGCUGCGAAGGCGACGCGGCCGGCCCGGUCGUGCACCAUGGAGAGACGAUGCGGUCGUGCGCCAUGGAGAGGCGUUGGGAACAACAUCUUCAACCAAGCCGGUGGCUCUGUCAACGGCGGCUUGGACCAAACCGAUGGCGGCUCUGUCAACCAAGGCGGCGGCGGCGGCUCUGGCACCGGAUGCGACAUGGAUGGCGAGUGGAUAGUCACAUUAGAGCUUAGUUUUGGCUCCAAAAAAGCGAUGAAGGGGGCAUGCGGAAUUAGGGUUUCCAAUGAAGGAUUUGGUGCGGCUGAAUGUGGGUGCAAAUUGACGCCAGUUAUUAGGGUUUGCAAUGAAGGAUUUGAUGCAGGCCGACGAUUUCUGAGUUGUCCAUACGAGGGGUUAAACUCCUGUGGGUAUUUGAGGUGGAUGGAUGAUGCAUGGCAGGGGCAGAUCAAGGGUGGUAAUUGGAAAGCUUGCAAAUGA
rnacentral:rRNA from 1 species